UUUAAUUGCGUUUUCAUUUUCUGCUGAGUACAAACUGCGUCUUUGGGAUUCUCUCCUGGCUGGUUUGGAAGAGCACUCUCGUCCCUCCCGAGUGGCAGCGCAUGUGCUCCAUGGUAUCAGGUCCUGACUUCCCUGUGCCGGUAGACAUUUAAACAUUGCUACCCUCCAGAGAGCUGUUGGAUGUCAUCAGUUCCUUGAAACUCAUCACGGACUAAUUCUGUGUGGUGAAUGCCUGACAUCAGGGAAUCCUAGCCGGUGGAGGGUGCCAAAAUAUGACGAAAACCACUGGCACGAUGGUCCCGUUUUCUGCUGGAUACUUUACCUGGAUGAAUACUAAGGAUCAUGGCAUGAAAUUCUUUUAAAGGGAAAAUCCAACUGUGCUCCACCCUGAGACCAGCUUGAUGAUAUGGAUUCUCUGCCAGCUGUGAUGCUGACCCUAUGCUGUGUCUGAGCUGCCUUUCAAGUUGAGCAUCCAGGGCGAGGUUCACAGAGGGAGAGCUCACACAAGGGUACAUGUGGGCCUGAAUACUCAGACUCAGGGUCCUGGCUCCCAGAAGGUGCACGCUGACACCUGUACAGCAGAUCCACUGAGGGCAGGAAUCUGCCAUCCUGGACAUUGCUGGGUAGGGUCCCCUGUGUCCUGCAGCCCCACAAAUGGAAAGGAGAUUUUGGGAAGUGAAGAGGAGCUGAGACCCCACAGUCUCCAUCCAUGGCAGCAGGGGCAAAAGGAGAAGGACCAUGGUGGCUGAAACCAUGCACUGUCCUGGGCUCCCUCAUUGGCCUCCUCAGCUCACAGCCUGGCCUCCCCUCCUGGAUCCUGGCAGAUCCUGCACUCGACCUAGAAGCCUGACCUCUACAGGGAGUGCAGGAAAUGACGAAGUCCUGGAUUAACCGAAGAUGGGACUGCAGAGAAACCAAGUCUUCAACACUGAAGCAAAGAUUCUUUUUCCUCUUUUGAAAACCAGCAAUUUAAACAGAAGGGUGGUGAAGUUUUACUAUAAAUUGAAUUUUAUUUAAUAUGCCUGAAAUCUCAGUUUAGGGGCUUGGAGGCCGCUGUCUGCCCCGUGGUGGGGGCAGGAGAAGAAGUGCCCGCCUCUCACCAGCCCUGGGCCCCAGGUCCUGCCCCCUGGGCCUCUCUUGGGAAGUGUGACAGUCACUGCCCUGAGAACCUACGGCAGCUUCAUUUCUGGGCCUCAGAUGCCCAGAAGCAUGGAGGAACUUGUCCCUUUGGGCUGCUGGUCAUUGGUCUUGACCUCCUGCCUUCUAUGGUGUGUUUUCCCCUCUGUGACCCCGAGCUUUACAUAAAGCGC